rnacentral:misc_RNA from 1 species
GCAAGUCAAACAACAAUGGAAGCAAGCAUGCUGACGAGAAAAGGGGGGAAAAUAGCAAUUUCUAAAAGUUUGGGCAAAGGUGAUUUUUGGGACAACAAAUCCCAUGCCCAGGUGUGAGAUUUUCUGGACAACAAGGCAGCAAUAUUCUUUUAAUUGCUUUUAAUCAAUAAUAGUCCUGAUUCACCUAGAACAUCUUGAAAAGAUUUCCAGCAACAGAAGAAAUAGUUUAGAGUUAAUAUAGGAAGCUUUCCUACUCUAUUUAGCAUAGUUAUUAAAUACUUAAGGCGCACUCAGGUCCUAAGGGGUCCUAGAAUCUAAGCGGAAGGCGCAAGUGCUUGCCUAGAUAAGAUGAGGCGUAAAAAAAAAAAUCAUAAAAGUCAAACAAAUGUAUUGCAUCAAACUUCAAAUAAUAUAAAAAUAAAA